GACCUGUAGGAUCAGAGUGGUGCAGUC
rnacentral:piRNA from 1 species